GGUUGCGAUCAUAACAACACUAAUGCACCGGAUCCCAUCAGAACUCCGCAGUUAAGCGUGCUUGGGCGAGAGUAGUACUAGGAUGGGUGACCCCCUGGGAAGUCCUCGUGUUGCAACCC
rnacentral:rRNA from 1 species